rnacentral:rRNA from 1 species
CACGUAGUUAGCCGUGGCUUUCUGAUUAGGUACCGUCAAGACGUGCACAGUUACUUACACAUCUGUUCUUCCCUAAUAACAGAGUUUUACGAUCCGAAGACCUUCAUCACUCACGCGGCGUUGCUCCGUCAGGCUUUCGCCCAUUGCGGAAGAUUCCCUACUGCUGCCCCCCGUAGGAGUCUGGACCGUGUCUCAGUUCCAGUGUGGCCGAUCACCCUCUCAGGUCGGCUACGUAUCGUUGCCUUGGUAAGCCAUUACCCCACCAACUAGCUAAUACGGCGCGGGUCCAUCUAUAAGUGAUAGCAAAACCAUCUUUCACUUUAGAACCAUGCGGUUCUAAAUAUUAUCCGGACAUUACGGCCCCCGGUUUCCCGGAGUUUAUUCCAGUCUUAUAGGUAGGUUACCCACGUGUUACUCACCCGUCCGCCGCUAACGUCAAAGGAGCAAGCUCCUUAUCUGUUCGCUCGACUUGCAUGUAUUAGCACGCCGCCAGCGUUCAUCCUGA